rnacentral:misc_RNA from 1 species
GAUGAAGAACGCAGCGAAAUGCGAUAAGUAGUGUGAAUUGCAGAAUUCAGUGAAUCAUCGAAUCUUUGAACGCACAUUGCGCCCCUUGGUAUUCCAUGGGUCAUGCCUGUUCGAGCGUCAUUUGUACCCUCAAGCUAUGCUUGGUGUUGGGUGUUUGUCCUCUCCUUUUGCGAUUGGACUCGCCUUAAAGACAUUGGCAGCCAGUGUAUUGGUCUUGAAGCGCAGCACAUUUUGCGAUUCUUGCUGAUAAUCACUAGCGUCCAGUAAGCCUAUUUUAACACUUUUGACCUCGGAUCAGGUAGGGAUACCCGCUGAACUUAAGCAUAUCAAUAAGCGGAGGA